GGGAAGGUGGCUCAGUGGUAGAGCACUUGCCUUGCAUGCAUGAGCGCUUGCCUUGCAUGCAUUCCUC
rnacentral:tRNA from 1 species